UGAAUGUGACAGUAGUUGAUUUAUAUGUGAAUGUGACAGUAUUGUUUUGUAUGUGAAAGUGACACUAGUUAUUUUAUAUGUGAAAGUGACAUCAGUUGAUUUGUAUGUGAAAGUGACACUAGUUAUUUUAUAUGUGAAAGUGAAAGCAGUUGUUUUGUAUGUGAAAGUGACACUAGUUAUUUUAUAUGUGAAAAUGACACCAGUUGUUUACAUGUGAAAGCAGUUGUUUAAUAUGUGAAAAUAACACCAGUUGUUUCAUAUGUGAUAGGGCACUAGUUGUUUUGUGUGUGAAAAUGACACCAGUUGUUUUGUAUGCAAAGAGGACUUUAGUUGUUUCAUAUGUGAAAGGGACACUAGUUGUUUCAUAUGUGAAAGGGACACUAGUUGUUUUAUAUGUGAAAAUGACACCAGUCAUUGUGAUUUGUAUGUAAAAAUGAGACAUAUAUUUUCAAAAUGAAUAUGACCUCUGUUGACAUCAGUUGUUUUGGGUCGAUGUUAAACAUAUUUUAUUCUAUUUACACCAUGUGUGUUUCUUGUGAACACCACACUAGUUUUGUGGUGUGUUAUGGAAUAACAGCCUCUUUGCAGGCAAAGUUACUUAUCAGAUAAUAGGGAUAUUGUGGCAUUCAUGAACGUAACCUGUCUUGUACAGAAUUGCCUCCCUUUGAAGUCCCAGAAUGCGAUGGUUACUUUGACAUUGUCAGCACUAUGGUCAUGUUCGUACGAACAGUGACACUUCACUGCCAUGCUGUAAAAUUCUUUGAUAUACCUGAAGUGGUUUUCAGUGCGGAAAUAAAUUGCAAGUUACUUCA